UACAGAGGUCCCAAGCGUUGUUCGGAUUCAUUGGGCGUAAAGGGUGCGUAGGCGGUGGGUAAGUUGGAUGUGAAAUCCUUGGGGCGUUAAGCCUCAAAAUUGCAUUCAAUACUGCUCCGCUCGAGUUCUGUUAGAGGAGAUUGGAAAUUUACGGUGUAGCAGUGAAAUGCGUAGAUAGUCGAUAAGGAACGCCUAGUGGCGAAAGCGAAUCUCUGGGCGAGCAACAUGACGCUGGAGGCAACGAAGGACCCAGGGGAGCAAACGGG
rnacentral:rRNA from 1 species